UACGAAGGGGGCUAGCGUUGUUCGGAAUCACUGGGCGUAAAGCGCACGUAGGCGGAUUGUUAAGUCGGGGGGUGAAAUCCUGAGGCUCAACCUCAGAACUGCCUUCGAUACUGGCGAUCUUGAGUCCGGAAGAGGUUGGUGGAACAGCUAGUGUAGAGGUGAAAUUCGUAGAUAUUAGCUAGAACACCAGUGGCGAAGGCGGCCAACUGGUCCGGAACUGACGCUGAGGUGCGAAAGCGUGGGGAGCAAACAGG
rnacentral:rRNA from 1 species